GCCAGCUCAGUGGCGCGUGUCUGUAGUCUCAGCUACUCGGGAGGCUGAGGUGGGAGGAUCGCUUGAGCCCAGGAGUUCUGGGCUAUAGUGCACUAUGCAGAUCGAGUGUCCACACUAAGUUUGGCAUCAAUAUGGUGACCUCCCAGGAGUGGGGGACCACCAGGUUGCCUAAGGAGGGGUGAACCGGCCCAGGUCGGAAACGGAGCAGGUCAAAACUCCCGUGCUGAUUAGUAGUUGGAUGGUGCCUGUGAAUAGCCACUGCACUCCAGCCUGGGCAACAUAGCGAGACCCUGUCUCU
rnacentral:SRP_RNA from 1 species